rnacentral:rRNA from 1 species
GAGUUUGAUCCUGGCUCAGAUUGAACGCUGGCGGCAUGCCUUACACAUGCAAGUCGAACGGCAGCACGGGAGCUUGCUCCUGGUGGCGAGUGGCGAACGGGUGAGUAAUGCAUCGGAACGUAUCCCGGAGUGGGGGAUAACGUAGCGAAAGUUACGCUAAUACCGCAUAUUCUGUGAGCAGGAAAGCGGGGGACCUUCGGGCCUCGCGCUCUUGGAGCGGCCGAUGUCGGAUUAGCUAGUUGGUGAGGUAAAGGCUCACCAAGGCGACGAUCCGUAGCAGGUCUGAGAGGAUGAUCUGCCACACUGGAACUGAGACACGGUCCAGACUCCUACGGGAGGCAGCAGUGGGGAAUUUUGGACAAUGGGGGCAACCCUGAUCCAGCCAUGCCGCGUGAGUGAAGAAGGCCUCGGUU